rnacentral:sRNA from 1 species
UUGCUGCUGCAGCUGCUGCUGCAGUUGCUGCUGCAGUUGCUGCUGCAGUUGCUGCUGCAGCUGCUGCUGCAGCUGCUGCUGCAGUUGCUGCUGCAGCUGCUGCUGCAGCUGCUGCUGCAGUUGCUGCUGCAACUGCUGCAGCUGCAGGUGCUGCUGCGGUGGGUGCUGCAGCUAGUGCUGCAGUUUCCGUUGCAGCAGCUGCUGCAAUUGCUGCUGCAGCAGCAGCAGCAGCAGCAGCAGCAGCAGCAGCAGCUGCUGCUG